UCACGGGACAUGCCCAUGCUUCCAGAGCCAAGGUGGAUCCCAAUGGCUAGUUGGCCAGCCAGUGUGGCUGAUUCGGUGAGAGAGAUUCAGUGAGAGAGAAUCUGUUUCAUAAAUCAAAGUGGAAAGAAGAUACCAGAUGUUGACCUCUGUCCUCUAUGUGUGUUGACAUGGGCAUGUGCAUGCAUGAGCAAGCAAACCCACAUACACAUUGCAUACACCACACAUACAGUUGUUUUGUUCAGGCAUUUGUUAGAGAGAUGGAAGGCAGACUAAUACACAAACAAAAUACAGUACCACUUUGGAUAAAUGAGCAGAUUGCCCCACAUCUUGCUGUAGAUUUCACUCUUUGCUCUGGUCAAAUCUCUUUUGGUCAUCCAGAAAGGAACUUUGUAUGGUUGGAGUCACCACAACAUGAGGAACUGUGCUGUGGAAUAGUCCUUUUUGUACACUGUGAAUAUGUAUUACUCUCAUUGGUUUAAUAAAGAGCUGACUAGCCAAUACCUAGGCAGGAAGAGGUUAGGUGGGAGAGCCAAACUGAGAGGACUCUGGGAAGAAGAAGGGUGGAGUCAUGGGGAGUCACCACCAGAUAUACAGGAAGCAGAAGAUAAACAUGAUGUGCUGAAAAAAGGUACCACCAUGUGGUAAAGCAUAGAUAAGGAAUAUGGAUUAAUUUAAGAUAUAAGAGCUAAUUAACAAUAAGCCUAAGCUAUCGGCCGAGCGUUUAUAAUUAAUAAUAAGUCUCUGUGUGGUUAUUUGAGACAGAAAACCCUGCCUACAGAACUGUAUUAAAGGGUCACAGCAUUAGGAAGGUUGGGCACCACUGAACCAGAUCACAAGCUGAGGACCAAGAAGAGCCCAUGAAGAACCUUUUAGUUCUAAACUACAGAAGGCAUCAGAAAACUAAGGUGUCUACCCAAGACAAAGGAAAGUUGAUGCCCACAAAAGACUUGGACACAAGUAGUCACAGCAACCUCGAAAAAGUCCCUACUGCGACCAACACAAAUGUCCAGCUACGGAAGAAAGAACAAAUAUAGAUUCAUAUAAAUUCCUACACAGCAAUGAAAAGGCACAGACCCCUUCCACAUCAGGACAGAAGAAUCUUCAAAAGACCAUGAUGUAGAAUUCUCAGCUCCUUCUCCAGCACCAUGACUUCCUGCACACCACCAUACUCCCAGCUACCAUGCUCCCCACCGUGAUGAUAAUGGAUAACCUCUGAAUUGUAAGAUGCCACUUCAAUUAAACGUUUUCCUUUAUAA